rnacentral:ncRNA from 1 species
UUCAAAUCGUUGAGUAAGAGAAGUAGGCAUUUUGGAGAACGCAGAGAGUCGAUGGAUGGUGUGAAUCGAUUUCAAAGGAAUGUUGAAUGGACUUACGAGAGGAAACUGAAAUCAUUAUGAAAGUAGGGGACACGGCUUCCACCGUUAAAGGGAUAGGAUAUCGAAAAUAGUUUUUUCUGUAUCUGAAUUUGAGAUAAGUGCUUUUGCAUUUAAUUAGAGGUGGCACCGCGUUAGUAUACAUCGCCCUCUAU